AGUGAACGCUGGCGGUAGGCCUAACACAUGCAAGUCGAACGGCAGCACAGUAAGAGCUUGCUCUUACGGGUGGCGAGUGGCGUACGGGUGAGGAAUACAUCGGACUCUACUUUUUCGUGGGGGAUAACGUAGGGAAACUUACGCUAAUACCGCAUACGACCUACGGUUGAAAGCAGGGGAUCUUCUGACCUUGCGCGGUUGAAUGAGCCGCUGUCGGAUUAGCUAGUUGGCGGGGUAAAUGCCCACCAAGGCGACGAUCCGUAGCUGGUCUGAGAGGAGGAUCAGCCACACUGGAGCUGAGACACGGUCCAGACUACUACGGGAGGCAGCAGAGGGGAAUAUUGGACAAUGGGGGCAAGCAUGAUCCAGCCAUACCGAGUGGGUGAAGAAGGCGUUCGGGUUGUAAAGCCCUUUUGUGGGGAAAGAAAAGCAGCAGGUUAAUACCCCGCUGUUCUGACGGUACCCAAAGAAUAAGCACCGGCUAACUUCGUG
rnacentral:rRNA from 1 species